CCUACGGGAGGCAGCAGUGAGGAAUAUUGGUCAAUGGACGAGAGUCUGAACCAGCCAAGUAGCGUGAAGGAUGACUGCCCUAUGGGUUGUAAACUUCUUUUAUAAAGGAAUAAAACGAGCCACGCGUGCCGUUUUGCAUGUACUUUAUGAAUAAGGAUCGGCUAACUCCGUGCCAGCAGCCGCGGUAAUACGGAGGAUCCGAGCGUUAUCCGGAUUUAUUGGGUUUAAAGGGAGCGUAGAUGGGAUGUCAAGUCAGUUGGGAAAGAUUGCGGCUUAACCGUAAAAUUGCAAUUGAGAAUGGCAUCCUUGAGUACAGUUGAGGUAUGCGGAAUUCGUGGUGUAGCGGUGAAAUGCUUAGAUAUCACGAAGAACUCCGAUUGCGAAGGCAGCCUACUAAACUGCCACUGACAUUGAUGCUCGAAAGCGUGGGUAUCAAACUGGAUUAGAUACCCUAGUAGUC
rnacentral:rRNA from 1 species